UACAGAGGGGGCAAGCGUUGUUCGGAAUUACUGGGCGUAAAGGGCGCGUAGGCGGCCUGUUAAGUCGAACGUGAAAUCCCCGGGCUCAACCCGGGAACUGCGUCCGAUACUGGCAGGCUUGAAUCCGGGAGAGGAUGCGGAAUUCCAGGUGUAGCGGUGAAAUGCGUAGAUAUCUGGAGGAACACCGGUGGCGAAGGCGGCAUCCUGGGACCGGCAUUGACGCUGAGGCGCGAAAGCCAGGGGAGCAAACGGG
rnacentral:rRNA from 1 species